AAAUUCAAAAUGCCUUUUUUUAGAGAGAGUUUUUUUUUUUGGAUUUAUUUAUUCUCAAAAAUAAUGCAACAAAAUAAAGAUCUGCUUAUAAAUGCAGCAGCGUCAGCGGUAGUAAAAUAGACUUAUAACACAAAUCAGUCUUGUUGGAUCCUUCUUGUGGAUCCCACACAGACGCACUGGAUGACACAUUUGGAAUAACCUAUCCUGGCUCCAUGACGUCAGCGCGUAAACAUCUACGUUCAUUCCAAGGUGCUAUAGUUUUUGUUGCUCGCAGCGUUGGCUCUCCUCUCUGUGUAUGUAUACAGUCUGUAGUUCUGUGUUUUACUGACUUAAAAUUCAGUAGCUUUUACUCUGUUUGUGGUUGGACAUUUUGGCACAUACAUGCAUGUCCACCGUGCGCUCCGUUACGCACAGAGAGGAAGGAGGCGACGUCAAAGCGACGUAAAAAAGCAACGUGACCUGCAGGAGCUCCGUGGAAAGCAUCUACUUCUCCUGUCGCUGCUGAAGCUGCUGAGGCUGCGGCAACAGCAUCACACACUCCUCUGCUGCAUGCUGCUGCUUUCACCGUCUCCAUCUCCAACAAAUCGUUUCUCUUUUACGCAUUUUUUUCAAGGACAUUACAAUAUUGAAAUCGUUGCUGCUGCAGCUCGUUCUGCAUGGCUCUGUCUUCCUGCAAGCUGUUGACUCAGGUGCUUCAAGGUGUGCAGGGUUUGGAGAUCACAGCUCAGUCGAGGUUUCUUUCACUGCCCAAAAACUGACUCUUUGCCAGUCCGGUGCCAUGCAGGACCUCACUGUGCAGCUGCAGCUGUGAGGGUGGAGGAUGCUGAGGAUGAGGAGUGGAGGUAUCUUCAAUGGCACAUUUGUGAUAACACCCUCUGCAAAGCUGCUAUGCUUUUAACAGCACGUGGCGUCGAGCUAAACCUUUUUUCUUUCCUUCACCUGAGGAAAAUGCAAAAAUGUUGGGUGCUGCUGCUGUAUCUGUCUCCUAAAGGUGCUCCUCACUGGUGCCUUCCUCCACCUCCACCCCUUCAUGCGCCGACGUGCAGCCACAUCAGAAAGGCUGCAGCCAGUUGGAGCUGCACGUCGCUCACCACGUCUAUCAAAUGGUGCCAAAAACGAUGCAACUAAAAGAGGGAGACGCGUCAUUCAAAGCUUCAAAGCAGAACAAUGGACACCAGUUCACAAUGGUCAAUGCAUAUGCUGGUGCGAAAUGUGUGUUUGGGUUUCUGUGCACGUCGUCCACAGCAGCCGGUGUGAGAGAGAGAGAGGUAGAGAGAGAGAGAGAGAGAGAGAGAGCGAGAGAGGAGGGGACAAGCGACGCAGCAGCUCCACAGCACACUGUCGUCCGAGGCUGCAGGAGGAGGAGAUGCUGCUGGGAUGCAGGAGAGGAUGCUGGCCUCGGCUCGUCUCUGAUUUACUGAUGCAAAAAAUAAUGCCAGUGUUUUAAAUAAAACACUUGGAUCAAGUCAUUGUGCAGGUUUCCUCUCAGUCAGUCAGUGAAGGCGUGCAACGUUGGGACUCCUAUAGUUUGGUUACACUUGAGAGAGAUGAUGGUGGUGGUGUAGAAACUUGAAAAAAAUACUGAAUGGACUUGAACCGGAGGUGCUGGAUUUUAUUCCAAGUUUGUGACUUGAAUCUUUGGAGUGCAGGCAGAAGUGCAGUCACACAGAAAUACACCCCCCAUCUGCAGGCCUGCUUCUGAACCUGCAGGACAACAGGUCAGAGGAGACACACACCACCUCCUGCUCUGAGGGUCAGAGGUCACAGAGUGGGUCAGAACAAGACUUCAUCACUCCAGAGUUACAGCAGGAAGAAGAAGAGGAGGAGGAGGAGGAGGCAGUGGAGGAGGAAAAAGAGAAGCAGAGUGGGUGGAAGGAUGGAAGCAGAGAAGGAUAGAAGCAGUUCGAGGAGGUGGUUGGAAGCGGGUGAACCCAGAGCAGGUGAACACAGCUGUGGAUCGCCAUGGGCUCUCUGGCUGCCCUCCUCCUGUGGCCCCGGCGCUGCAUACAGGGGUCCCGGGGAGCCGGCAGGGGCCAGCCAAAGCUGCGGCAGAGUGGGCAGGCUAGGCCAGCCAAGCCAGGAGAGAGGCAGGUGAGGCGGGUGAGCCGAGCUCUCAUCCCCGCCGGCUAGGAGCCUCCGCGGCAGAGCGGAGCAGCGCGGAGCAGCAGAAAUCAAUACAGAGGAGAGAGGCUAGCAGAGGUUGCCCAGCACCGCCUGCAGGCCUCGGAGCCCAGGGACCAACCACCACCACUGCUCCCAGCUCCUCUCUCCAUCUCUCUUUCUAUCUUCCUCCAACAGUCCCAGCACCAGCCAGGGCCAGGGCCCUCACCGCCCCACACGCAGUGUGUGUGUCAGUAGGUGCACAUGUGUGUGUAAAAUAGAGAGAAAAAGGGAGAGGGAAGAGACAGAGAGAGGGAGUCUUUGUGUGUGGUUCCGCCGGAGGGGUUUUUGCUGCGUCCAACACCACUUGAUAAAAACUUUGUCAGAGAGACACGGAGACAGCGAGGGAGGGGGAGAAACGGAAGAAGAAUAAGACAGGACGUCGAAGGUCGCUUUUCUUCCAGCUCCCUCCCUCUUAUUACGCAUUCCACCUCAACUGUUUGAUAAGGAGCCAUCGGAGACGGUACGCAGGACGUUUUCUGCUCAGUCCCACUUCCAAGCACGUAGCGCACAAUAUUCCUAAGAUCUCAUGAGCCGGGAUGAAAGGACAAUUUGAACUUUUUCUCUCAUCCACUGUAUCAGACACAACCUGUCUUUUCGCCUUAGAUUUUCUUACCCUCACUACAGCAGCUCCCAUCAGAGGAUAUGGCAGUGCAGUAUUGAUCUAUAAGGUGGAAGAGAGGAAGGCGGGCCCGGGCUUUCAUACCUCUCUCUCUCUCUCUCUCUCUCUAUGUGUGUGGAAAUAGCACCUGAAGUCCACUUACUGCUGUGCAGCAGGGAUCCCAUGGCAGCACAAGUGAAUGGCUGCUAAUUGAAUGAGAGAUGAAAAGGACAGUAGUUGUACCUGCUCAGUGAACCCCCCCCACCACCCUCCUUCCUGUCUCAUACUACUUGGUUUUUCAUCUGACUUUUUUCUCCUCCACGUUUACAAAAGACCUUCUCCACACAAAGAGACUCGCUGUUCAGAUGUUUUAGCAAAAUUGGUGGUGACUAAAGAAAAUUGGCAAAAUCUUCAGGAAUGAAAAUACCUGUCUUCAGAGUAGAGGUGAAAGCCUUCAGUAGAAAAUACUUUUUUUUCAUGCGGUGAAAGUUUUGAGAGGUCAUGCCACAGAACAUCCUGUACUGUACAUAUUUGUGGACAUGGAAGGACAUGAGAGGACAGCUUCCCAAGCAUGAAAACUUGCAGAGAUUACGACGGGAUUCAGACCUUUUGAUGCAGCCAGUCAGGAAUGAGAUGCAAAGCAGUGAUUUACCGUCGGACCUUACUCUAACAAAGCACACUAUUUGUCGUCAAUUUCUGUGAACAUGUGUAGCCUCGGCCACAUAUGGAAAACGCCACCUCUACACCUGCAAGAACAGUCAGUUAGACACACAUCAUUAGAGUCUGAUUAUCAGUUGUCUGGUGUGCAGUCUUUGUGGAUGCGGACAGGUAAGUCGGAACCGCUUCUAAAAGGUAAGUGUAAAAGGUUGGAUCAAUUUAAGAGCUGUCUGAAGUGUAAAAUGGAGCUGCCGAGCAAUAUUUUCCUGAAUUAGUUUCAUUAGAUGUGAAUUACUAUAUUUGAGACCAAUUUUAGGUCGGAGAUUGGAUGAGACCCCAAGGGGUCCUUCUUUUCACUCAGUAAUUUACAUUCAAGUAUUUGACUGGAAAAUCGUUUGACAAGAGUUUGUCGCUGUUGAAUUACUUUCCUCUUUUCUGUGGGACAUUAUGUACACAUACAUAUUUAUACAAUCUCUUUCACAGUGUAAUGAACUCAUUUAUCAUAAAAUGAUUGCAGAAUCCCCAACGCGAUGCCCUGAUAUGAUAUAUAUAUUUUCAAUAAAGUUGAACAAUUUGUGAAAUGAAAA